GACCAUGACUCUCCAGCCUGCCCUCUCAUUUAGUCAGAUCAUGGCAGAACUGAUUACAACUUCAACUGCUUUCCUAUCUUUUGAUGGGAAUCAUUCCCCCUUCCCUUAUCAAGAACCCAUCUACCUCUGCCUUAAAAACACACUCAAAGUGUCUGUUUCUACCAUACUUUGAGGGAGAGGUUCUAAAGUCCUAUCCACCAGGGGCAAAUCUUAUCUGCAUUAGGUGGACGAUCCCUCACCCUUGUUGCAAGUUGGAAUUGUUAUUGAAGGAGCUAUCAUGAAGCCAAGUUUAUAGACUCAGACAGCACACAAAAAUGUUGUCUUUGUAUGCUCCAUUGUCACCUUCCCCAGGCUAACAAUUAUCUAUUUGUUAGUUUAUUUAUUGUAUGCUGUCUUUAUUGUUGGAAGACUUGAAUGCAAAAUUACCACCAGGUUCAGGAACAGCUACUUUCCUACAAUUAUUAGGUACAUGAAACAAAAUGAAAAAUCUUGAUACUACCUACGGUGAUGGAACACUACAGACCACCUGGGAGGCACAGUCACGCAGCGGUAGAGUUGCUGCCUUGCAGCACUGCAGACCCAGGUCCGACCCAGGUUCAAUCCCGACUACGGGUGCUGUCUGUACGGAGUUUGUACAUUCUCCGCGUGGGUUUUCUCCGAGAACUUCGGGUUCCUCCCCACGUUCCAAGGACGUACAGGUUUGUAGGGUGAAGGUGUUGCUGCCUUUCUAUUGUCCUUCUCCAAGUGCCCCUGAGAUGGUGUAGCAGACUACUCUUGUGAACGUCUACAGUUCCUUCAGUCUGGAUUGGGAGCUCAUGGAAUUUCUUCCAGAGAUAAUGAAGGAAUGGACAAUGCAUUUCCAAGUCAUAAGGAUCCUGGUGAACUUCUACCGCUGCACCAUCGAGAGCAUCCUUACCAACUGCAUCACAGUAUGGUAUGGCAACUGCUCUGUCUCCGACCGGAAGGCAUUGCAGAGGGUGGUGAAAAUUGCCCAACACAUCACUGGUUCCUCGCUCCCCUCCAUUGAGUCUGUCCAAAGCAAGCGCUGUCUGCGGAGGGCGCUCAGCAUCGCCAAGGACUACUCUCACCUCAACCAUGGACUGUUUACCCUCCUACCAUCCGGGAGGCGCUACAGGUCUCUCCGUUGCCGAACCAGCAGGUCGAGGAACAGCUUCUUUCCGGCGGCUGUCACUCUACUCAACAACGUACCUCGGUGACUGCCAAUCACCACCCCCCCCCCGGACACUUAUUAUUAUUUAUUCACAUCGUUUGCUAUGUCGCUCUUCCAGGGAGAUGCUAAAUGCAUUUCGUUGUCUCUGUACUGUACACUGACAAUGACAAUUAAAAUUGAAUCUGAAUCUGAAUCCGAAUCUAAAGAUAUGUCAUCUGGGCAGCACAGUGGUGCAGCUGGUAGAGCUGCUGUCUCACAGCGCCAGAGACCCAGGUUUGAUCCCGGCCUCGACUGCUAACUGUGUGGAGUUUGCAAGGGUUUCUUCCGAUUGCUCUGGUUUCCUCCCACAUCCCAAAGACGUGCGGGUUUGUAGGUUAAUUGGUGUCUGUAAAUUGCCCCUAGUGUGUAGGCAGUGGAUGAGAAAGUGGGAUAACAUAGAACUAGUGUGAACGAGUAAUUGAUUGUCAGCGUGGACUCAGAGGGCUGAAGGGCCCGUUUCCAUGAUGUAUCUUUAUUUAGACAUUUUUGUUACAAGAGAAAAUUCCAAAAGUCCAUCCUAUCAAUGCUUCUCACAAUCUUAUAUACUUCUAGCACGUCCCCUUAACCUUCGUUACUCUACGGAAAACAACCCCGCCUAUUCAAUCUUUCCCUACAAAAUUCAAACAUUCCCCCCCAGGCGGUGAAUCCCCCUCAACCAGAACUGCAAACAACAUGAAUUAACUGUGGCCUAACUAAAGUUUUAUAACAUUGUGGCAUGAUUUCUGUGCUGUUAUAUUCUGUGCCUCGGAGAAUGAAGGCAAUCAUCUUGAAUGCCUUCUUCAUCUGCCAGUGGUGCCGUCUCUAAGGAUCUAGGGAUUGUACACCAAGAACCCUCUGGUCUCAGAAUGCUCACACUUUGCAAUAUUGUAUUUUAAAUAGGUUUAGAAACGUCGGGACAGUGCUGUAUGAUAAAAAAAACAAUUAAUCUUCACAAAUUUCACCUACAUGUUGUAUUGCUUGCUACCUGUUAAUCCUAAGUGCCCGAGAUGUUAAGAAAUAGAAACAAGAUCAAACAUGCUCAUUCAAAAGAGAAGUAACCAAACCUCUAAACCUUUGAUUCUCGUAAUGCCAAAACCUCAGCCUUGAGUCCGCUCAACCACUGAGCACAUGCAUCCGCUGAGAUAAA